GAGAGAGAGAGCGGGCAAGCGAGACGCAGCCAUGUUUAUGUUCAUUCGGGAGGGACCUGCCAGUGGGCCGGGCACCGGUUCUGGAACGAGCGGAGUGCAGGAGAAGACUCCCAAACAGGUACAGGCCGCCAUCAGGAAGAAGGUGGAGAAGCAGAGGAGGCGAAACUCUGAGCUCGUUGCCGGGGAGGAGAUGGACAAUAGCGCCAGACCCCCUCGGGCCAAGGCCCCCACCUUGUCCUCAGCUGCUGAGGAGGAAGAGGAGGAGGAACAGCAGGUUCACAAGGAGGCAGAGAGGGAGGCAUUGCAGGCAGAUCUGCUGCCUAUAGUGGACUCAGCCUAUGGCCAGCUCAAGAAAAUCCCUGAAAUUUGCUAUUACUUCCAGGAGCUGGGUCUGUGUAUCACUGGUUAG
rnacentral:lncRNA from 1 species